UACGAAGGGGGCGAGCGUUGUUCGGAAUUACUGGGCGUAAAGGGCGCGUAGGCGGCGACUCAAGUUAGAUGUGAAAGUCCUGGGCUUAACCUGGGGACUGCAUUUGAUACUGGGUUGCUUGAAUUCGGGAGAGGAUAGCGGAAUUCCCAGUGUAGAGGUGAAAUUCGUAGAUAUUGGGAAGAACACCGAUGGCGAAGGCGGCUAUCUGGACCGACAUUGACGCUGAGGCGCGAAAGCGUGGGGAGCAAACAGG
rnacentral:rRNA from 1 species